rnacentral:lncRNA from 1 species
AUGGAGAAUAUUCCCAUACAGUGGACCAACCAAAGAUAAACCUGAAAUAUGGAUAAAUUUAACAGCAUACCAAGAUAAACACACAUAAUUUAUUCUUUUGAUUAGCAUAAGCACACAUAAGUCAAUAUUUAGUGUCACAAUUCAUAACUUCACCUUUGGUCAAUAUUCAUGAUGCUUCAUCACUUUUAAUCUCACACAUUACAUAAUAUAAAUAAUGUACUUCAUCAUCAACUUGAUAGAACAACACAUUUUUUUAUUUAUUUUUUAAAACACAAUCAUACGUAGUAGAAUAGAGACACAUUCCUCUUCACCACUGUUUAUGCCUUCAAUCUCCUCAUAAUUACUGCAAUAUUGAGUCAACAACGCAGACUCAACCUAGAUAAAUUAUAAAAAUAAUUAUUAUACUUUCAUAAAA